rnacentral:rRNA from 1 species
GUACACUCCUGCGGGAGGCAGCAGUGGGGAAUUUUGGACAAUGGGCGAAAGCCUGAUCCAGCAAUGCCGCGUGAGUGAAGAAGGCCUUCGGGUUGUAAAGCUCUUUUGUCAGGGAAGAAACGGUGAAAGCUAAUAUCUUUUGCUAAUGACGGUACCUGAAGAAUAAGCACCGGCUAACUACGUGCCAGCAGCCGCGGUAAUACGUAGGGUGCAAGCGUUAAUCGGAAUUACUGGGCGUAAAGCGUGCGCAGGCGGUUUUGUAAGUCUGAUGUGAAAUCCCCGGGCUCAACCUGGGAAUUGCAUUGGAGACUGCAAGGCUAGAAUCUGGCAGAGGGGGGUAGAAUUCCACGUGUAGCAGUGAAAUGCGUAGAUAUGUGGAGGAACACCGAUGGCGAAGGCAGCCCCCUGGGUCAAGAUUGACGCUCAUGCACGAAAGCGUGGGGAGCAAACAGGAUUAGAAACCCCUGUAGUCCCAUGA